GGGCGGGGCCUGGCCGGGCGCCGGGACGGGAGGAGUCCCGGCGGCGCCUCGGACUUUUGCUCCCACAAGUCCUGCCUCCGAGGCGGAGGAGCUGGACCAGCAGCCGCCUGGAGCGUCCGAGUCGCCGUCGCCGGGGCUCCCGCGCUCCCCAGAACGGUGGGACGCGGGGCUCGGCAGCCGCCAGCGGAACAUGGCGCCCUGGACGCUGUGGCGCUGCUGCCAGCGCGUCGUGGGCUGGGUGCCGGUGCUCUUCAUCACCUUCGUGGUCGUCUGGUCCUACUACGCGUACGUGGUGGAGCUUUGCGUGUUUACUAUUUUUGGAAAUGAAGAAAAUGGAAAGACCGUUGUUUACCUUGUGGCUUUCCAUCUGUUCUUUGUUAUGUUUGUAUGGUCCUAUUGGAUGACAAUUUUCACAUCUCCCGCUUCCCCCUCCAAAGAGUUCUACUUGUCCAAUUCUGAAAAGGAACGUUAUGAAAAAGAAUUCAGCCAAGAAAGACAACAAGAAAUUUUGAGAAGAGCAGCAAGAGCUUUACCUAUCUAUACCACAUCAGCUUCAAAAACUAUCAGAUAUUGUGAAAAAUGUCAGCUGAUUAAACCUGAUCGGGCACAUCACUGCUCAGCAUGUGACUCAUGUAUUCUUAAGAUGGAUCAUCACUGUCCUUGGGUGAAUAACUGUGUGGGAUUUUCUAAUUACAAAUUCUUCCUGCUGUUUUUAUUGUAUUCCCUAUUAUAUUGCCUUUUCGUGGCUGCAACAGUUUUAGAGUACUUUAUAAAAUUUUGGACGCUUUGCCGCAGGAAGUCUACAGAGAGUUGUCCAAAGAAUGAACUGACAGAUACACGUGCAAAAUUCCACGUACUUUUUCUUUUCUUUGUGUCUGCAAUGUUCUUCAUCAGCGUCCUCUCACUUUUCAGCUACCACUGCUGGCUAGUUGGAAAAAAUAGAACAACAAUAGAAUCAUUCCGCGCACCCACAUUUUCAUACGGACCUGAUGGAAAUGGUUUCUCUCUUGGAUGCAGUAAAAAUUGGAGACAAGUCUUUGGUGAUGAAAAGAAAUAUUGGCUACUUCCAAUAUUUUCAAGCUUGGGUGAUGGUUGCAGUUUUCCAACUCGCCUUGUGGGGAUGGAUCCAGAACAAGCUUCUGUUACAAACCAGAAUGAGUAUGCCAGAAGAUCUAAACUGCAGAGGUAGAAAGCAGAAAACUUGGGAAAUGACAGUAGUGGCUCAAAUCAGCCUUUUCCUAUCAAACCACUUAGUGAAUCAAAAAACCGCUUGUUGGACAGUGAAUCUCAGUGGCUGGAGAAUGGAGCUGAAGAAGGCAUCGUCAAAUCAGGGACAAAUAACCAUGUAACAAUGGCAAUAGAAAAUUGAGUACCACUUGUUCAUAACUAACCAUUUGAAUAAGAGCAAGGUGUAUGAAAACAUUAUAGACUGGUAUUUUCAAUUUUCAUUUGCAAGGAAAUGAUCAGUGGAAUGAAAUAACUGAAGUAUAACAGAAGAUAUAUUUUUUAAAACGGAAAGCCUUUGUACAGUUCCUGGGAUUCACAGAAGCACUACUCCAGAGCAGAACGAUGCCUUAAUCUUAAGUGUCCAUUUGUGCAGCAUUGACUUAGAGCUACAAAAGUGACUUAAUGUUAUUCUGGAAAUAAUACUUACCUGUUAUGAGAUGCUAUAAUAUGAGCUGUCAUCACAUUUUAACAUGCAUAUGUAUUUUUUGAUACCUGAAUUACAUUAUUAGAAUAAGUAUCCGUAUUUUCACUCCAAAAACACAAGCUUAAAAACUUUAAAGUACAUCUAGGGCAAAUGGUGGCUGAAAGUGACUAAUAUUCAAAUUACUGUUGCUUGUACUGUAUAAGGAAAACUGCUUUUUUAAAUUGGGUAUUUGCUAAUUUAUAAUUACUAUUUUAUACUUUUCAACAUUUUUAAUAACUUUUUUUAUUGUUGGCUAUAACAGAAGGAUUCAGAUAUCUAAAUAUCAUUUAGAACAUAGAACACAUUGGUCUAAUUCAUCGAAAGCUUAGUUAUGAGCAUUAAUAUAACCAUGUAGUAGAGCAAGUGCCCAAGGUUUAAAGGGAACUUGGCAGUAUAAGAAAUAUUUUGGGUUCUCUCUGCUAUUUUAUAGCUUUUUUUGUUGAACUUUCAGGGGUAUGUACAUGGGCAGAGAAACACAAAGGUACAUGUGCUGGAGAAUAGUGGACACAGUAGGAAGAAGUAUAGGUGUCCAGAAGAAAAUCUAAGAGGAAUAUUGUAAUUUGUUAAAAAAAAAUAGCUUUGAGUUUUAACAGCAGUUAGAAUAAAGUAUGCUGUUGACUUCACUUUCAAAUUUCAGUGUAGGUAAUGACUAAAAAUUACUUUGAAACUUUUUACAGUAAUACUGUAACAGCUUAAACAGUGAUUUAAAAUGCAAUUCAAACUAGGCAAAACAAACUUUAGAGUAAGUUUUCCUCCUGGCUGUCAGUUGGAAAUUCUAACCUGAGUGGUCAUUUUACAUUCCCAGUCUCUUGAGAAGUGGAUUCUACUCUUAGAUGCACAGUCUGAAGUCUGACUUCCUAACAGCAACCCCUUUAUGACUAGACACACUUCUCCUUUUUCCUUUUAAAAUCUAAGCGACAGGAGGUGUUGCAUUAACUCCAAGGAAAAGUACAGAAUAAACAAUGUAGAAAUGUCACUCCUCAUUUACACCUUUUAGACAGACACACACACACACACACCCCCCAAAAUAAUUGAUUGCUUCCAGUGAGUGGGUGGAGAUGAAUCUCAGCAGCAUCUGUGAGUACUACAGGUUGGAGCUUCCUGUCUGUAAAAUGGGACUGCAGGGGAGGGGGUGUUGUGAAUGAGUUGGACUGGAUGACUUCUAACAUUCUGCGAUGCCUAAUUUUGCAAAAUCACUUUUCAUUCACCCAAUAAAUUUUUUUCUUCUUUUUUCCACAGAAUUUUGCUCUGUCUCCCAGGCAGGAGUGCAGUGGCGGGAUCUUGGCUCGCUGCAACCUCUGCCUCCCAGGUUCGAUAGAGUCUCCUGCCUCAGCCUCCCAAGUAGCUGGGAUUACAGGCUCUUGCCACCAUGCCCGGCUAAUUUUUACAUUUUUAGAAGAGACGAGGUUUCACCAUGUUGACCAGGCUGAUCACAAACUCCUGACCUCAAAUAAUCCACCCACCUUAGCUUCCCAGAGUGCUGGGAUUACAGGCAUGAGCCACCACGCCCCGCCCCAGUAAAUUUUUUGGAGUACCUUCUGUAUGCUAAAUAAUACACUAGGAAUAGCUCUAUCAUUUCCUAGUACAGCAUAAAUUUUAUGGUUGCUACUGUAGGUUUAUAAUUUGUUUAUAAUUUGGCCUAAUUUCCAUCAGCCAUACUAAUAUUAGAUUUUAAAAGGAGGCAACUUUUUUUCUUUUUGAACCAAAGGAAUGAGUUAGCUUUGAAAACAUAAUUUGGGAUAUUAUAGUAUGGAUGAUUCUACCUUUGUUUCAACUCCUUAAUAAUCUUGAUUCUAGCAAACUAGAAUGAGAUUUAAGAGAUACCAAUUAUUGCUGGGUGUGGUGGCUCAUGCCUGUAAUCCCAGCACUUUGGGAGGCCAAGGCUGGCGGAUCACCUGAGGUCAGGGGUUCGAGAUUAGCCUGGUCAAAAUGGCAAAACCCUGUCUCCACUAAAAAUACAAAAAAACCCCAAAACUGUCCAGGCAUGGUGGCACACGCCUGUAGUCCCAGCUACUCGGGAGGUGGAGGCAGGAGAAUCACUUGAACCCAGGAGGCGGAGGUUGCAGUGAGCCGAGAUCAUGCCACUGCACUCCAGCCUGGGCGAUGAGUGAAACUCCAUCUCAAAAAUAUAUAUAUAUCAAUUACCAACUAAAAACAUAACUUCAGUUUGGCAGUUUGCAUAUUAUAAGGAGAUAAAUGUUAAAACAUACUUGACUACUUUCAGAAAUGUUCUCCUGGUACUUUUUGCAUUUCUACAUUCAGAUAAAAAGAUUUGCAUGCACCUGGCUAACGCCAAGGGAACUUCAUUUUUUUCUUCACUAUUAUGCACUUUCAUGGUAUAGUCUUUCUCAGUUCUUUUAAUUUUUGUUAUUUAACAUCUUUAAUAGCACAGCAAACAUCUUUUCAGAAAUUUUCAGUUAAAGCCUUUGAAUUACUUAUCUUUGAUUUAAUUUACAGCCAGCAUUUUGCCACGUUCUAAAUAAUAUUUAGCUGAACUGAUUCAUACGUAUUAAUGACCAUUCUAGCAAAGGCCUACAAGUGGUGUGGGAAUCAGGGAAAGGCUGCCUCUUUGGUAUCUCAACUGGUAUUGAUUAUUGCUAUCAACUAUUUGGAGAGAAAAAAUCAAAAUGAAGCCCUGUCAAAUUUUAGAAGUACUAUCUUUGGUCCUUCAAACACUUUGUGAUGACACCUUAAGAAAAAUAAAGUUGAAGUUCAGGUCUUGCCAUUGCCAUUACAAACAAAUUAGGAGACUUGGUUUACCUGGGAACAAAUUUACUUGAAUAUUCAGUACCUGAAACUAUGCCAAACCAAAGAGCAGCUGCAGUACAUUCGUUAUUUUAAAUGAACAAGUUUACAAAGUUUAUUUUCAUCUAUACGUAAGGAUGAUUUUUUUAAAACUUUUUACAUAUUAGUGGUUAUGAUCCAAUGUGUCAUGAGUGAAUUUAACUGUAAGGUGGUUUAAAUCAAAUAUGCAAUGUUUACUUGAAUUGUAUUUCUAUUAGCAGAUUUUGACUAUGUUUACAGGACUGUUUAAAUUAAGGAUUAUCAGGCAUGUGAGAUCUUUCAGUUAUCUUUAAAGUAGAUGUAUGUUAAGGGCUUAGAUUUAGGAUCUACAUAUUCUGGGCAUUGAAUAGGCAGUAACUUACAAAUAAGUUUUGCUUACCUUUUGUUCUAGGGACUAGCACUGCUAUCAAUGGAAAGUAUUUUUAACUAAUCUGUUAUUAAGAAAGUCAUAUUUUUGCAUUUCAGCCAAAAUAAAGACCGUAUCUAAUAAUCUGUUAGAAACAGAUAAUACAUGUCUGAAAUCCAUAUGUUUCAUAUGAUCUAAACUGUAUUUUCCAAUUUAAAUUAAAAAUGUAAUAUAGAUUCAGAAAGGUUCAUAUUUUUCUAAUGACUUCAUUCUAUAUUAUUUUGUUAGGUUGCAUAAAGAAGCAAGGAAUUGUACUUGUAUUAAAAGAUGAAGAAAGCUAUUAGGUAUAUUUGUAUAUGACUGCAAAUGAGUCUAUGCCCGUUUAAAAGAAAAGAUGGACACUAUUUUAAAGUGAGCUUUAAUAUGCUUUUAUAUAAACAAAUUUGAAGUACAGUUUAGUUUGGUUGUGUUUACCUAACAAGUAUCAUAAGCCUUGUGUUUGCUCUUAUUUGUAUAAUCCUAGCCUGUGACUUAAUGUUGAUGCUUUGCUUUGUCUUUUGGCUGGCCUAACCUACAUUGAUAUGUACACAGAACAUUUUAAAACUUUUUUUUUCAAAAGUCAUAAUGAAUUACUUUAUUAAUAAACAAAGUCUUGUAUUUGAA